rnacentral:lncRNA from 1 species
GGCUACGCAGCGAUUCCCGCGAGUUGCCCGGUUAAGUCUGCACUGGGAGCGGAGCGCGCGGCAGGGCUCGGUCGGGAAGUGGGCCGACAGGAAGACUUCCAACCCGCGGCUGCUCUGCCCUGCCCGUGGGCCCAGGGCUGCGCGAACAGCAGCGGGCAUGGGCCGGUGCGAGGCCCGCGUGAGACGGCUGAGCGAGGGCUCCAGGUGCGCAGACCCAGAAUCGGAGUAUUUCAAGGGCUCAGUAUUGCGUCUGAGCAGCGCGUGUGAACAGCGUGUGACGAUCAGGUCAAGGCACUGGCGUAAUCGGUGAAUUAGAGUUAUCCUGCCCAGCAGCGCUCGUGCGCGUGCACCCCCUCCCUGGCCCGCCACACACCCCUGUGCUUACCGCUGGGUGGCAUCAACUUUUAGCCUCCUCAUGGAGAGCUGUGACAGACGUAGCCCUUGACGUCCUCUCUGGCCUCUGAUGAAAGCUUGCCGACUGCUGCCGUAAAGGAGAGAGGAACAGGAAGACGCCAGGAGCUGCGCCUGUCACGCCAUGCGCGUCCCUGCCAUUGCAGCCCCGUGCCCCCCCCCCCCCCCGUGGUGAAGUGAAAGAGAAAUUUUUUAGGCUACUGUUAGGAGGGUGUGUCUGUGACAACAUCAGAAUGAGUACAGCCUACCCCCGUUGUCAAGACUGUUGUAGAACUUUUGAUAAAAUCUGAGGAAAGGUUUGUGCAGGGGUGAGCCUGGGGGUUAGAAUCACAUGGCAGUUAAAGCACUGCAUUGGGCUUUCACCACUAUAAGGAAAUAGCUGACACAGGCUACUUAUGAAGAAAGAGGUUUAUUUCGCUCUCCAUUCUAAAGGUUUAAAGUCCAAACAGCAUAAGGCAGGCUUUGUGGCAGGGCAGCCCCUUGGCCUCUCCUCAGGGCCAGUAGUGAUGUUGGGGAUGUGUUUGGGCGAGAAAGCAGAGACAGCUGGGAGGAGCCAGCUUUGCUCUUUUUAUAACAACCCUCUUGGAUGAGCGGGGCGUGGUGGCCCCUGCGUGUAAUCCCAGCACUUGGGAGGCUGAGGCAGUAGGAUCACCAAAGAGUUCAAGACCAGCCUGGCUACAUAUUGAGUUCAGGGCCAGCCUGAACUGCAAAGGGAGACUCUGUCUCAACAACAACAACAACAAAACCCAACCAAACAAAAAAACAACCCUCUUGGGAGAACUACUUCCUGAGGGUGCACCCCAGUGACCUAACUUCCUCCCUCAGGCCGCUCCUCCUGAAGGUCCCCCCCCCAUAGCACCACCCUGUGACCAAGCCUCCAAUGUCUGAAGUUCUGGGGAGGCAGUGAUACCACGGUUUUUACAUACCAAGUGAACUUUCACACCGCACCCUCCUUGGUGUAUAGAUAGGUCUCCACUUGACAAGCAGCACACACUGGAUGAGGCCAGUCCUGGGGAGACCUGAGCAUCACCCCAGUAAUGAAAGAGGUGAAGGAGAAAACCGAACCUGGCUUCCAGCCUAUUUCAGAGGAGGACCCAUGAGAGCGUAGCCUCUGGGAGCAGUCUUCCCACACUUUAACUCCAGUGCCACCAGCGUCCAGGUUUCCAGCAAGGGCCGCCGGGAAAGGGUCAUUAUUCUACUACACGUGAUAAACAGCAUGGUCCUUACGGGGUUUGAAACAGUGACCGGUAGGAGAGAUGUUUACGUGGUGGCGCACGCCUGUGAUCCCAGCAUUCGGGAGGCUGAGGUAGGAGGAUCGCCGAGUUCGAGGCCAGCCUGGGCUACAUAGUGAGACUCUGUCUAAAAAAAAAAAAUUAUAAUACAGGCAGAUGUUGGAGUACAGUAGUCUCCCUUCGCCGGUUCACUUUCUAUCCGUAGCCAACCACGGUCUGAAAAUAAGAAGUGGAAAGCCCCGGAAGCCAACACUUGGUAACUUUCAACUGCCUGCGUCCCGAGAGCGGGGUGCAGCGGUGUCAGGGGUGACUCACGCGGGCGAGCAUCAUCCCUGGUCCAGGAAAUCCCCGCCCGAGGUCGGUCACUUGCAGGCACCUCGCCUGCCAGGAGCCCUCAUUUUACCUGACAGUGGCCCGAAGUGCAAGUCUAGGGAGGCGCAGGGCACGGAUGGGAGGCGAGUCCGGC